UUCCCCUCUGCCUCUGUAACCAGCACUGUGUCCAGUCUGCUGGGCCCUAGCCCAAGUUGAGAACCAGCCCACACCCCACCA